rnacentral:rRNA from 1 species
GCCUUGGCGCUGGAAGCCGAUGAAGGACGUGGAAGACUGCGAAAAGCUACGGGAAGCUGUCAAACAAGCGUUAAUCCGUAGAUGUCCGAAUGGGGAAACCCAAUUUAUUUUAAUAAAUUACUCCUAUCUGAAUAUAUAGGAUAGGUAGAGGGAACUAGGGGAAGUGAAACAUCUCAGUACCUAGAGGAAAGGAAAGCAACAGCGACUCCCUGAGUAGCGGCGAGCGAAACGGGAAGAGCCUAAACCAAAAUAAUGUUAAAGACUGAUGUCGUUGUUUUUUUGGUGUUGUGGGGCCCUUUAGAGAGAGCAUCAGAUCUCUCAAUGAGUUACAAAUAAUAAGAUUAGAAAAAUUAUCUGGAAAGUUAAACCAUAGAGUGUAACAGUCACGUAUUCGAAAAUCUUUUUACUCAUUAAGGUCACCCCAAGUAACAAGGAGGAUAUUCCUUGUGAAUCUGCGAGGACCACCUCGUAAGGCUAAGUACGACCAGCGACCGAUAGUGAACAAGUACCGUGAGGGAAAGGU